AUUUUUUUUAUUAUAAAUUAUUUUUGAUUAUUUUUAUUUUUAAUAAAAGUAUUUUUAUUUUUUUAUAUUUUUAGUAAUUAUUUUGAAUUGAUUUUUUUAAUUAUAGUUUAAUUGUAAUGUUAUUGAUUUAAUUAUAAAUUUAAGUUUAUUAAAGUAUUUUUAAUUUAAAGUACCUUUUGUAUCAGGGUGAAUUAAAAUUUUUAAGAUUUAUUUUUAAUUCUCGGUUUAGGUUGAUUUAUAAUAAAAUUUUAUUUACUGUUGUAAAAUUAUUAAUAAUUUUAUUAUUGAAAUGAUAUGUUAUUCGUUUCCUAAGAUAUCUAGUUUUUUAAGAAAAAAAUUUAAUUUAAAAAAUUAUUGCUUUAAAUUUUAUUUAUAAUUUAAGGUAAUUAUUUAUUAAUCUUUUAAGGGAUAAGCUUUUAAAGAGAGAUCUAUAAGUUUGUUAUAUGUUUAAUUUGGUAAGCUUUGAAUCAGCUAUCUAAUUGAUUACGUUUUAGUUCAUUAAUUAAAAAUUUGAUUUUAUCAAGACUUUAGAUUUUUUAUUAAAAUUAUUAAUUUAAUAAUUAAAUUUUUGUAAUAAUGAUUUAAUUAGUAUAUAUUUUGGUGUUUAAAUAAUAAUUUAAUAAAAUUUAUUAAAAGGAAUUAGGCAAUAUUAAUUUCCGCCUGUUUAUCAAAAACAUGUCUUUUUGAUUAUAAUUUAAAGUCAUACCUGCUCACUGAAUAUAAUUAAAGAGCCGCAGUAAUUUGACUGUGCAAAGGUAGCAUAAUCAAUAGUUUCUUAAUUAGAAACUGGAAUGAAAGGUUUGACGAGAAAUUAACUGUCUCUUAAUAAUAUAUAAAAUUUAACUUUUAAGUUAAAAGGCUUGAAUAGUUUAUUAGGACAAGAAGACCCUAUAGAGCUUUAUAUGUAAUUUAUAUAAAAUAUAUAUAUACUUUAUUUUUAUUUUUAAAAUCAUAUUUUAUUGGGGUGAUAUAAAAAAUAAAUAAACUUUUUAUUAUAUAAACAUUAAUGUAUGUUUUUUUGAUCCAUAUUUUUUGAUUAUAAGAUUAAGUUACCUUAGGGAUAACAGCGUUAUUUCUUUUAAGAGUUCUUAUUGACAAAGUAGAUUGCGACCUCGAUGUUGGAUUAAGAUAAAUUUUUGGUGUAGUAGCUAAGUAAUUAGGUCUGUUCGACCUUUAAAUUCUUACAUGAUCUGAGUUCAAACCGGUGUAAGCCAGGUUGGUUUCUAUCCUAUAUAAAAUUAUUUAUAUUAGUACGAGAGGACCAUAUAAUUGAAAUACUUUUUAUUAUUGAUUAAUAUUAAAUU
rnacentral:rRNA from 1 species